GGGCGCAUAGCUCAGUUGGCAGAGCAGCUGACUCUUAAUCAGCGGGUCCCAGGUUCGAGUCCUGGUGCGCCCA
rnacentral:tRNA from 1 species